rnacentral:rRNA from 1 species
UACGUAGGGUGCGAGCGUUAAUCGGAAUUACUGGGCGUAAAGCGUGCGCAGGCGGUUUGCUAAGACAGGUGUGAAAUCCCCCGGGCUUAACCUGGGAACUGCGCUUGUAACUGGCAAGCUAGAGUGUGGCAGAGGGGGGGUGGAAUUCCACGUGUAGCAGUGAAAUGCGUAGAGAUGUGGAGGAACACCGAUGGCGAAGGCAGCCCCCUGGGCUAACACUGACGCUCAUGCACGAAAGCGUGGGAGCGAAACAACGGU